CCUACGGGUGGCAGCAGUCGAGAAUCAUUCACAAUGGGGGAAACCCUGAUGGUGCGACGCCGCGUGGGGGAAUGAAGGUCUUCGGAUUGUAAACCCCUGUCAUGUGGGAGCAAAUUAAAAAGAUAGUACCACAAGAGGAAGAGACGGCUAACUCUGUGCCAGCAGCCGCGGUACUACAGAGGUCUCAAGCGUUGUUCGGAAUCACUGGGCGUAAAGCGUGCGUAGGCUGUUUCGUAAGUCGUGUGUGAAAGGCGCGGGCUCAACCCGCGGACGGCACAUGAUACUGCGAAACUAGAGUAAUGGAGGGGGAACCGGAAUUCUCGGUGUAGCAGUGAAAUGCGUAGAUAUUGAGAGGAACACUCGUGGCGAAGGCGGGUUCCUGGACAUUAACUGACGCUGAGGCACGAAGGCCAGGGGAGCGAAAGGGAUUAGAUACCCUGGUAGUC
rnacentral:rRNA from 1 species